UUGUAGUCCACCCAGAAUGCUGGAAACCAACACAUCGCUUUGCAGAUGAGUCAGAUACAUGAAUAUUAUCUCCUCUGCCAAUAUUAUUAAUCAGCAGGGACAGAUAAGAAAUUGAGUCAAAUGAAAGCUGCUUCAAUGUCUCACCAAACCCAUUUAAGUUGGCUUUUGCCAAAACAGCAAGUUGUGAGGGUUCAAGAAACUUUAAGGAUUUCAAGAUGUUAGAGAUUGAUAGAUGAUGACUCCAUGAAAGGAGAAUCAAUACCCCAGAUUGAUAUACAAAGCAAUCAUGAAUAUUAGCAGCAGUGAAAUAGACUUCAAUUUUAUGAAGAACCAAGGUCUUGCUUUCACCAUAUCAU
rnacentral:lncRNA from 1 species